AAAUAAGAAGCAAUUAAUUGCAAUCAGUUUCGACCUGAUAGUGAGAUAAUUCAUAUUAUCCUUAUUUU
rnacentral:tRNA from 1 species